CCUUGGUGGAGCUUUGCUCUGCAAACCUGGAAUCUUCUGAUUGGGCCCCUUUUCUCUAGCCUUGCAGGAUCAAGGGUCUGCAGGAAUGUGCCUUGGACGGCCACGCUGUGAUCCAUCAAUGGGCAAUGAGAGAAUGCAGGAGACUUCAGCACCCACCACACAGAUGUCUUUUGCUUUCCUGAGGUCGGAUACAUAAAAUCUCUUCUGCGACACAAAACAGAAUUUAUUUUAAUCCCACUUGGAUCUUAUCAGACUUAUCAGCUCUUUGGUACAAAAAUUGGGCAAUACUCAUGACACGAAUAAGGAAGAGGAUGUCUAUAAAGAUAUGAGAUUUAAGUGCACAAGCAUCACUCAGAAGUCCCCCUUUCUUUCUCUAGAACUGUUGCAGCCAAACAUCGCUCUCAGAAACACAAUCUGGAGGAGAUCCAUAGCCUACAAUAAAACUAUUUCUACCUAUCCUAGCCUCAAAUCUAAUUACGAUGAGAAGACUAAUAUUGCCUUAAUUACAUUCUGAAGGCUUCCUUCAUUAAGGGGUACCUAGAAGUACAAGCAAUCAAGGUCUCAGAUAAACACGCCUGUGGUUUGUGAGAUCCAGGCACGUACCUUUGAAGCUUGAGUGCUUUGUACUGGGAACGGUACAGAAAACCCAAUAUUGAAAGUUAAACUUUGGCACCAAAUUAUUGAAUGCUAACCAGCAGACAUCAAGGAGAUGAUCUGUUCUUGCUGCUAUGUCAGCAGUGCCCUGUUCCAGGGCACCAGGCCCUGCAGGGUGCUGGGGAGUGGAAUGAGCAGGGACAGCCCCAUCCUGCAGGAUGGA